rnacentral:rRNA from 1 species
GUCCUUUUGUGUUAAUAUAAGGUCUUACCUGUUCACUGAUAWAUAUAAAUAUUAAAGAACCGCGGUAUUUUGACCGUGCAAAGGUAGCAUAAUCAUUAGUCUUUUAAUUGAGGGCUGGAAUGAAUGGUGUGACGAAAUAAUUACUGUCUCUUGAUGAAAUAUUGAAUUUUACUUUUAAGUUAAAAGGCUUAAAUUUAUAUAAGGGACGAGAAGACCCUAUAGAUCUUUAUAAUUUUGUAUGAAAAUUAUUUAAUUAGAUGUUUAAAGGAUUUUUGUAUGUGAUUAUUUUGUUGGGGUGACAUGAAAAUAAAUAAACUUUUUAAAUUGAUUACUUAAAUAARAGGRUUUUUGAUCUUUUAUUAUAAAUGUUAGAUUAAGAUACCUUAGGGAUAACAGCGUUAUUUCUUUUGAGAGUUCAUAUCGACAAUGAAGUUUGCG